rnacentral:rRNA from 1 species
CCUUCGGGAACGUCUGACACAGGUGCUGCAUGGCUGUCGUCAGCUCGUGUCGUGAGAUGUUGGGUUAAGUCCGUAACGAGCGCAACCCUUGUCCUUAGUUACCAGCACGUUAUGGUGGGCGACUCUAAGGAGACUGCCGGUGACAAACCGGAGGAAGGUGGGGGAUGACGUCAAGUCAUCAUGGCCCUUACGGCCUGGGCUACACACGUGCUACAAUGGUCGGUACAAAGGGUUGCCAAGCCGCGAGGUGGAGCUAAUCCCAUAAAACCGAUCGUAGUCCGGAUCGCAGUCUGCAACUCGACUGCGUGAAGUCGGAAUCGCUAGUAAUCGUGAAUCAGAAUGUCACGGUGAAUACGUUCCCGGGCCUU